rnacentral:rRNA from 1 species
GAUGAACGCUAGCGACAGGCUUAACACAUGCAAGUCGAGGGGAAACGAUAUUGGAAGCUUGCUUCCGAUAGGCGUCGACCGGCGCACGGGUGAGUAACGCGUAUCCAACCUGCCCAUCACUUGGGGAUAACCUUGCGAAGGUAAGACUAAUACCCAAUGACGUCUCUAGAAGCCAUGUGAAAGAGAUUAAAGAUUUAUCGGUGAUGGAUGGGGAUGCGUCUGAUUAGCGUGUUGGCGGGGUAACGGCCCACCAAGGCGACGAUCAGUAGGGGUUCUGGGAGCAAGGUCCCCCACAUUGUAACGGAGACACGGUCCAAACUCCUACGGAAGGCAGCAGUGAGGAAUAUAGGUCAAUGGGCGAGAGCAUGAACCAGCCAAGUAGCGUGCAGGAUGACGGCCGUAUGGGUUGUAAACUGCUUUUAUAAGGGAAUAAAGUGGGAGUCGUGACUCCUUUUGCAUGUACCUUAUGAAUAAGGACCGGCUAAUUCCGUGCCAGCCGCCGCCGUAA